UCAGGAGGUGCUGGUGCUUUAUUCUAUUGGAGAACUUUGCUGUUGGAAGUUAUCUCUUUCUCUGUGGCUAACGUGUGAAUAUUUCGUACAGGACAAAGGCGUUCACUAAAGGAACCACUAAUAAAAAAGGACCUCCACACUGCAGUAAAAUGGUUGCGCCAACAUAGACGGUUGUUCAGAGGUGCCGUGUCUGAGCCCCAUUUUCUGGAGAUGGAGGAGGAGGACCAAAGCCGAGCUCUCCAGGACAUCACCGAUGCAGUCGAAACUGAAGAUUUAAUUUUGGCAAAAGAACCCUUUGUAUUUAUUUUUCAGUUUAGGGAUGAUAUGGAAUUUUUCACUCAGGAAUGUCGGGAUAAAAUGAAACUUAAAGUAAACUGCAUAUUUAAUGAAUCAGUAUAAUUAUUGUCUGUUGCUACAUUGAUUGUUACUUGUAUUUUAUUGUGCAUUAAUACUCUGUUGAUUUCAGUUUAUAAUACUUUGAUUUUUCUGUUUUCCUUUGAUGGUGGAUAGUUUUUGAAAAUAAACAAUUUAACUGCAA